rnacentral:rRNA from 1 species
CGCCCAUACUGAACCAUGGGAUGCUAAACACCCGAACCAUGCCAACCGGUCCUUCGGGAUCAUCUGGUGUGGGGAGCGUGUGACCCGAUCGUGUAGUAGGUAAGCGA